rnacentral:rRNA from 1 species
UACAGAGGGUGCGAGCGUUGUUCGGAAUUACUGGGCGUAAAGCGUGCGUAGACGGUUAUGUAAGUCAGAUGUGAAAGCCCCGGGCUCAACCUGGGAAUUGCAUUUGAGACUGCAUAGCUAGGGUGCGGAAGAGGGAAGCGGAAUUUCCGGUGUAGCGGUGAAAUGCGUAGAUAUCGGGAGGAACACCAGUGGCGAAGGCGACUACCUGGCCUGUUCUUGACGCUGAGGCGCGAAAGCUAGGGUAGCAAACGGG